AUGAGAAAGAACAUAGAUGGGAGAUUCCGAACCCGCGGUAAAAGCGAUGUUGUGACUGCUAGAGAAACUUUUACUUUUGGUGCCCGGCGCCUGUUUUUGUGCGUGAAGGUGAGAAACAUGGAUGGAGAUUCCGAACCCACGGUAAAAGCGAUUUUGUCACUGCUUGAGAAGCUUUUACUUUCGGUGCUUGCUCUUGUGCGCGAAGGUGGGAGAGGGACUUAUCACAUCAUACAUGGGCCUGUAGGUGUACAUAUAACUGUUGUAGAUAUAAAGGGGCCUCUUGUCUGGAGGAUGUACGCGGAAGAAAGGUAA
rnacentral:rRNA from 1 species